rnacentral:rRNA from 1 species
AUUGAACGCUGGCGGCAGGCCUAACACAUGCAAGUCGAGCGGAUGAAGGGAGCUUGCUCCUGGAUCCAGCGGCGGACGGGUGAGUAAUGCCUAGGAAUCUGCCUGGUAGUGGGGGAUAACGUCCGGAAACGGGCGCUAAUACCGCAUACGUCCUGAGGGAGAAAGUGGGGGAUCUUCGGACCUCACGCUAUCAGAUGAGCCUAGGUCGGAUUAGCUAGUUGGUGGGGUAAAGGCCUACCAAGGCGACGAUCCGUAACUGGUCUGAGAGGAUGAUUAGUCACACUGGAACUGAGACACGGUCCAGACUCCUACGGGAGGCAGCAGUGGGGAAUAUUGGACAAUGGGCGAAAGCCUGAUCCAGCCAUGCCGCGUGUGUGAAGAAGGUCUUCGGAUUGUAAAGCACUUUAAGUUGGGAGGAAGGGCAGUAAGUUAAUACCUUGCUGUUUUGACGUUACCAACAGAAUAAGCACCGGCUAACUUCGUG